CAUGCGAGUCGAGCGGUAGCACAGAGAGCUUGCUCUCGGGUGACGAGCGGCGGACGGGUGAGUAAUGUCUGGGAAACUGCCUGAUGGAGGGGGAUAACUACUGGAAACGGUAGCUAAUACCGCAUAACGUCGCAAGACCAAAGUGGGGGACCUUCGGGCCUCAUGCCAUCAGAUGUGCCCAGAUGGGAUUAGCUGGUAGGUGGGGUAACGGCUCACCUAGGCGACGAUCCCUAGCUGGUCUGAGAGGAUGACCAGCCACACUGGAACUGAGACACGGUCCAGACUCCUACGGGAGGCAGCAGUGGGGAAUAUUGCACAAUGGGCGCAAGCCUGAUGCAGCCAUGCCGCGUGUGUGAAGAAGGCCUUCGGGUUGUAAAGCACUUUCAGCGGGGAGGAAGGCGAUGAGGUUAAUAACCUUGUCGAUUGACGUUACCCGCAGAAGAAGCACCGGCUAACUCCGUGCCAGCAGCCGCGGUAAUACGGAGGGUGCAAGCGUUAAUCGGAAUUACUGGGCGUAAAGCGCACGCAGGCGGUCUGUCAAGUCGGAUGUGAAAUCCCCGGGCUCAACCUGGGAACUGCAUUCGAAACUGGCAGGCUAGAGUCUUGUAGAGGGGGGUAGAAUUCCAGGUGUAGCGGUGAAAUGCGUAGAGAUCUGGAGGAAUACCGGUGGCGAAGGCGGCCCCCUGGACAAAGACUGACGCUCAGGUGCGAAAGCGUGGGGAGCAAACAGGAUUAGAUACCCUGGUAGUCCACGCUGUAAACGAUGUCGAUUUGGAGGUUGUGCCCUUGAGGCGUGGCUUCCGGAGCUAACGCGUUAAAUCGACCGCCUGGGGAGUACGGCCGCAAGGCUAAAACUCAAAUGAAUUGACGGGGGCCCGCACAAGCGGUGGAGCAUGUGGUUUAAUUCGAUGCAACGCCAAGAACCUUACCUGGUCUUGACAUCCACCGAAGUUUCCACAC
rnacentral:rRNA from 1 species